GUCUACAGCCAUGCCACCCUGAACAAGCCUGAUCUCGUCUGAUCUCGGAAGCUAAGCAGGUUCGGGCCUGGUUAGUACUUGGAUGGGAGACCACCUAGGAAGACCAUGUGCUGUAGAUG
rfam:Pteropus alecto contig45514, whole genome shotgun sequence.